UGGGGAAUAUUGCACAAUGGGCGCAAGCCUGAUGCAGCCAUGCCGCGUGUAUGAAGAAGGCCUUCGGGUUGUAAAGUACUUUUAGCGGGGAGGAAGGGAGUAAAGUUAAUACCUUUGCUCAUUGACGUUACCCGCAGAAGAAGCACCGGCUAACUCCGUGCCAGCAGCCGCGGUAAUACGGAGGGUGCAAGCGUUAAUUGGAAUUACUGGGCGUAAAGCGCACGCAGGCGGUUUGUUAAGUCAGAUGUGAAAUCCCCGGGCUCAACCUGAGAACUGCAUCUGAUACUGGCAAGCUUGAGUCUCGUAGAGGGGGGUAGAAUUCCAGGUGUAGCGGUGAAAUGCGUAGAGAUCUGGAGGAAUACCGGUGGCGAAGGCGGCCCCCUGGGCGAAGACUGACGCUCAGGUGCGAAAGCGUGGGGAGCAAACAGG
rnacentral:rRNA from 1 species